UAGUUGGAUUAUGAAAAACUUCAUAAAAUAGGAGAUAUCAGUAAAUUAUUGCUAAAAAUAAAACAGAAAGUUUGGUUAUGUAAACCAGUCAAAUUCAGUAGUAUUUUAUUUAGGGUUGCAAACAAAUAGAAAAAAAAGUCCCCUGCAAUUACCCCAUAUUUCGGGAGUUUCAAGCUAUUUGAUAUUUCCAGCUUUCCGACGGAGGAUGAAAUUGUUAAAGAAUGGAUUGCGGGAACUGGAAAAUCAAAUUGGAUGCCUCACAAAUACUCGCGUAUUUGUUCCAAACAUUUUGAACAACAUUGUGUCCGCAAACUGGGCAAACGAACUUUCAUCGAAAAGUUUUCUUUUCCAACCUUGUUCAUACACGAGAGGAGAGAGAAAAUUCUUUUCUUCAUCAUGUCAUGGAAAUCGUCCAUUCGUGCACGUCGUCGUCGUGGCAGUCUCAACAGCAUUCUGAAGCUAUUAUUGAACUUCAUAUAAUUGAUCCACAGGUUACAAGUGUAUGUGUAAAUAAAGUUUUCUUGACCCCCACAGUAUGUACAACGCGCAACACGUAAGAUUUUUUAUUUAAACAUAAAUAUUCGGUUUUAAGUAACAGUUUUUAAUGUAAGCGCUGGUGGCCUAGCGGUAAGAGCGUGCGACUUGCAAUCCGGAGGUCGCGGGUUCAAACCCCGGCUCGUACCAAUGAGUUUUUUGGAACUUAUGUACGAAAUAUCAUUUGAUAUUUACCAGUCGCUUUUCGGUGAAGGAAAACAUCGUGAGGAAACCGGACUAAUACCAACAAGGCCUAGUUUACCCUCUGGGUUGGAAGGGCAGAUGGCAGUCGCUUUCGUAAAAAAUUGUGCCUACGCCAAAUCUUGGGAUUAGUUGUCAAGCGGACCCCAGGCUCCCAUGAGCCGUGGCAAAAUGCCGGGACAACGCGAGGAAGAAAAAAAAAGUAACAGUUUUAAUGUAAAUGACCAUGUUAGCUUAAAAUCAUAUACUGCGUAUCUAAUGAGGUGUCGCUCAAGCACAUCGUCAAGAACCUUCGCUGCAAUAGGGUUGUUUCCAUUUUGAAAUGCUUGUAUUAUAUAAUAUAUAUAUAUUUACCAAAUUAUGGCCUAAUAUUCAAUUUAUUUGUGUUGUUCUCAAGUAAAAGGUACCGCAUUGUCGCUUAUCAUAAGAACGCUCUUACAGGUUGUACGUAUAGAGAGCAAGCAAAUUGUAUCCUUAUGGUAAGCGACUAUGUGGUACCUUUUACUUGAGAACGACACAUUUAAUUAUUAUUUCUAGUAAGUACAGUUAUAAUAAUAUAAGUUUUGAAUAAAGAAAUUACCUCUUUUGAUA